CGCGUAGGCGGUUAAUUAAGUCAGGUGUGAAAACUGUGGGCUCAACCCAGAGACUGCAUCUGAUACUGGAUAACUUGAGUGCAGGAGAGGGCAGUGGAAUUCCUAGUGUAGCGGUGAAAUGCGUAGAUAUUAGGAGGAACACCAGUGGCGAAGGCGGCUGCCUGGACUGUAACUGACGCUGAGGCGCGAAAGCGUGGGGAGCGAACA
rnacentral:rRNA from 1 species